rnacentral:rRNA from 1 species
UUUUUUUUUUUUUUUUUUUUUUCUCGUUAAAGAGACGCUGGCGGCGUGCCUAAAUACAUGCAAGUCGAACGCUUCUUUUUCCACCGGAGCUUGCUCCACCGGAAAAAGAAGAGUGGCGAACGGGUGAGUAACACGUGGGUAACCUGCCCAUCAGAAGGGGAUAACACUUGGAAACAGGUGCUAAUACCGUAUAACAAUCAAAACCGCAUGGUUUUGAUUUGAAAGGCGCUUUCGGGUGUCGCUGAUGGAUGGACCCGCGCUGCACUAGCUAGUAGUUGAUGAGGUAACGGCUCACCAAGGCCACGAUGCAUAGCCGACCUGAGAGGGUGAUCGGCCACAUUGGGACUGAGACACGGCCCAAACUCCUACGGGAGGCAGCAGUAGGGAAUCUUCGGCAAUGGACGAAAGUCUGACCGAGCAACGCCGCGUGAGUGAAGAAGGUUUUCGGAUCGUAAAACUCUGUUGUUAGAGAAGAACAAGGAUGAGAGUAACUGUUCAUCCCUUGACGGUAUCUAACCAGAAAGCCACGGCUAACUACGUGCCAGCAGCCGCGGUAAUACGUAGGUGGCAAGCGUUGUCCGGAUUUAUUGGGCGUAAAGCGAGCGCAGGCGGUUUCUUAAGUCUGAUGUGAAAGCCCCCGGCUCAACCGGGGAGGGUCAUUGGAAACUGGGAGACUUGAGUGCAGAAGAGGAGAGUGGAAUUCCAUGUGUAGCGGUGAAAUGCGUAGAUAUAUGGAGGAACACCAGUGGCGAAGGCGGCUCUCUGGUCUGUAACUGACGCUGAGGCUCGAAAGCGUGGGGAGCAAACAGGAUUAGAUACCCUGGUAGUCCACGCCGUAAACGAUGAGUGCUAAGUGUUGGAGGGUUUCCGCCCUUCAGUGCUGCAGCUAACGCAUUAAGCACUCCGCCUGGAGACCCCACU